rnacentral:rRNA from 1 species
UGAGGAAUAUUGGUCAAUGGGCGAGAGCCUGAACCAGCCAAGUAGCGUGCAGGAUGACGGCCCUAUGGGUUGUAAACCGCUUUUAUGGGGGGAUAAAGUGCGGGACGGGUAAUGCAUUGCAGGUACCACAGGAAUAAGGACCGGCUAAUUCCGUGCCAGCCGCCGCGGUAAUACGGAAGGUCCGGGCGUUAUCCGGAUUUAUUGGGUUUAAAGGGAGCGUAGGCUGUCUAUUAAGCGUGUUGUGAAAUUUACCGGCUCAACCGGUGGCUUGCAGCGCGAACUGGUCGACUUGAGUAUGCAGGAAGUAGGCGGAAUUCAUGGUGUAGCGGUGAAAUGCUUAGAUAUCAUGACGAACUCCGAUUGCGCAGGCAGCUUACUGUAGCAUAACUGACGCUGAUGCUCGAAAGUGCGGGUAUCAAACAGG